CGGGUGAGUAAUGUCUGGGAAACUGCCUGAUGGAGGGGGAUAACUACUGGAAACGGUAGCUAAUACCGCAUAACGUCGCAAGACCAAAGAGGGGACCUUCGGGCCUCUUGCCAUCGGAUGUGCCCAGAUGGGAUUAGCUAGUAGGUGGGGUAACGGCUCACCUAGGCGACGAUCCCUAGCUGGUCUGAGAGGAUGACCAGCCACACUGGAACUGAGACACGGUCCAG
rnacentral:rRNA from 1 species